UGGGGAAUAUUGGACAAUGGGGGCAACCCUGAUCCAGCCAUGCCGCGUGAGUGAUGAAGGCCUUCGGGUUGUAAAGCUCUUUCGCACGCGACGAUGAUGACGGUAGCGUGAGAAGAAGCCCCGGCUAACUUCGUGCCAGCAGCCGCGGUAAUACGAAGGGGGCUAGCGUUGUUCGGAAUUACUGGGCGUAAAGGGCGCGUAGGCGGCGCUUCAAGUCAGAUGUGAAAGCCCCGGGCUCAACCUGGGAACAGCAUUUGAGACUGGAGUGCUUGAGUUCCGGAGAGGUGGGUGGAAUUCCCAGUGUAGAAGUGAAAUUCGUAGAUAUUGGGAAGAACACCGGUGGCGAAGGCGGCCCACUGGACGGAUACUGACGCUGAGGCGCGAAAGCGUGGGGAGCAAACAGGAUUAGAUACCCUGGUAGUCCACGCCGUAAACGAUGUCGGCUAGACGUUGGGGCUCUUAGAGCUUCGGUGUCGCAGCUAACGCAUUAAGCCGACCGCCUGGGGAGUACGGCCGCAAGGUUGAAACUCAAAUGAAUUGACGGGGUCAUAGCUGUUUCCU
rnacentral:rRNA from 1 species